AUUGAACGCUGGCGGCAGGCCUAACACAUGCAAGUCGAACGGUAACAGGAAGCAGCUUGCUGCUUUGCUGACGAGUGGCGGACGGGUGAGUAAUGUCUGGGAAACUGCCUGAUGGAGGGGGAUAACUACUGGAAACGGUAGCUAAUACCGCAUAACGUCGCAAGCCCAAAGAGGGGGACCUUCGGGCCUCUUGCCAUCGGAUGUGCCCAGAUGGGAUUCGCUAGUAGGUGGGGUAACGUCUCACCUAGGCGACGAUCCCUAGCUGGUCUGAGAGGAUGACCAGCCACACUGGAGCUGAGACACGGUCCAGACUCCUACGGGAGGCAGCAGUGGGGAAUAUUGCACAAUGGGCGCAAGCCUGAUGCAGCCAUGCCGCGUGUAUGAAGAAGGCCUUCGGGUUGUAAAGUACUUUCAGCGGGGAGGAAGGGAGUAAAGUUAAUACCUUUGCUCAUUGACGUUACCCGCAGAAGAAGCACCGGCUAACUCCGUG
rnacentral:rRNA from 1 species